CAAAUCUUUAAUAACCGUUUGUACUAUGACAAUCUAAGGCUCGGUAGAGUUAUUUAGGUGUAAUUAAGGUCCGUUAAGUUGUUUUGUAAUUCCUACAUCUUACCUAAAAUAUUCCCCUUCCACCCUGGCAAUAUUGUGGAAAUGCGUUCAAAACCAGAUUGCAGUGCCCUGUGGAAUUGCGUUCAAAACUACAUUGCAGUGCCCGGGAGAAUGCAGAAAACAAGUGCAAAACAAGUGCAAACAUACUAUUUUUGAAUAAAUACCAAGGCUUAUGAUUCCGAACGUUAACAAACUAACCGAUUACACACGCCGAUUGUUUCGCCGAUUUGUG